rnacentral:rRNA from 1 species
AUGCAGCGGCAGAUCUUCCACAUGGCUACCGCUGUGGCGUGGGCGCCGCUGCUGCUGGUGCUGCUGUCGGCGUCGUUGUCGUCGCGGUGCGCGGGGCAGGCGCUGGUGCCGGGCGUGAUGAUCUUCGGGGACUCGGUGGUGGACGCCGGCAACAACAACCGGCUGGCCACGCUGGUGCGCGCCGACUUCCCGCCCUACGGCCGCGACUUCCCGGCCACCCACGCGCCCACCGGCCGCUUCUGCAACGGCAAGCUCGCCACCGACUACACCGUGGAGAGCCUGGGGCUGAGCUCGUACCCGCCGGCGUACCUCAGCGACGAGGCGCAGAGCGACAACAGGACCCUCCUCCACGGCGCCAACUUCGCCUCCGGCGCCGCCGGCUACCUCGACGCCACCGCCGCGCUCUACGGCGCCAUCUCGCUGGGGCGGCAGCUGGACUACUUCAAGGAGUACCAGUCCAAGGUGGCGGCGGUGGCCGGCGAGAAGCGCGCGGCGGCGCUCACGUCCGGGUCCAUCUACGUGGUGAGCGCCGGGACGAGCGACUACGUGCAGAACUACUACGUGAACGCCAUGCUGGCCGCCGCCUACACCCCGGACCAGUUCGCCGACGCGCUCAUGCAACCCUUCACCGCCUUCGUCGAGAGGCUGUACGGGCUGGGAGCGCGGCGGAUCGGGGUGACGUCGCUGCCGCCCAUGGGGUGCCUGCCGGCGUCCGUCACCCUCUUCGGCGGCGGCGGCGGGGGCGGCUGCGUGGAGCGGCUCAACAACGACUCCCUCACCUUCAACGCCAAGCUGCAGGCGGCGUCGGACGCGGCCAAGAAGCGGCACUCGGACCUCAAGCUCGUCGUCUUCGACAUCUACAACCCGCUGCUCAACCUCGUCGCCGACCCCAUGAGCGCCGGGUUCUUCGAGUCUCGGCGCGCGUGCUGCGGGACGGGGACGAUCGAGACGUCGGUGCUGUGCCACCAGGGGGCGCCGGGGACGUGCGCCAACGCCACCGGCUACGUCUUCUGGGACGGCUUCCACCCCACCGACGCCGCCAACAAGGUGCUCGCCGACGCGCUGCUCCUCCAGGGGCUGCAGCUCAUCUCCUAG